GUCGAUUGAGCCUUCUUAUCCCAGCUUCCUUGAACUUUUGGUUGUGAGUGGCAAAGACCUAAAGUCAGGUACAUUUCCUUAACUGUCCCCUAAAGUAUUGGUCCUUAAUUCCUGUGAACAACUGUAAUAAGCUGCUUUUUGAAGGUCAUUUACACCUGCAUUGCUAAGGUAUUCAGUGCCAUAAAAAGAUUUGACAAAGCACUACUCAUCUGGGCAGAAUUUUAAGCAUGACAUUAACUGUGUUUAACUCUGCUUGGUAUCAGUGGGGCUCACAAUGAGUUCUGAAUGUUUCACUGAAUAAGGAUGGAUUCAAGCAGGUGCAUAUUGUUAAGCAGGCACAUAAGUACCUAAGAGAGAUAAAUGGAGAGAGUUACAGAGCAGCUGGUAUCUCUGCUGUCCUAUCAACGCGAUUCCAUUUGGUGAGCAGGUAAAAAGGGAAAGAAACCAGAAAAGAGAAAAACUAGAUUAAAUUAAAGGAUGAGAGACAAAUAGGUGUUUCCUGGGCAUGUUCAGAGUGAUGCAUUGAUGCCUUUUGAUGGAUUUCCUCGUGUGGAUGUGUCCUCUCUUUGGUGCAGGCUAUGUUACGGUCAUGAAAUGUGGUCUAAUAGAAGGAUCAUCAAGAUGUCAACGUAGCUGGGAACAGAGAGUGUGGGGGUAACAUCCAGAAUUCCUGGGUUUUCUUCAUAAUUUUAAGAGUGCUUCAAGCAAAAUGUGUUAAAUCACAAUACACAGUUACUAUUAUAACUCCAAUUGAUAAUCUGCUGUGCCUGCAAGAACUUUGCCAAGCUGGGAGCACAAAGCAGAACUCCUCAUGCCAAGACCUGAACUGUCCCCAAAGGACCAUACAGAGCUAUGGCCUUGGCUCCUGGAGAACCACAGCAGCUCCAAGAUCCUGGGAGACUUGGAUGGAGCUGCCUGGCCCAUUGGACCAUUCAUUUGAUGCAAGAGGUGGAAAGUCUCAGAUUUAUGUCACAGGAGCAAUAUUUCUUACAUUAGCUAUUUAUGGAUUUACACAUCUUUGCAUUUUCUUAACAGUAAAUAAAAUAAAUAGCAGGCACUGAAGGCCUGGCUGCGUGACAAGAACCUUUGUAGGAUGCAGAACAAGGACAAAAUUAAAAGCAGAGAGAGUAAAUAAAUCUUUGGGCAGGACUUCUGCCA
rnacentral:lncRNA from 1 species